UACGUAGGUGGCGAGCGUUGUCCGGAAUCAUUGGGCGUAAAGAGCGCGUAGGUGGCUUGUCAGGUCUGAUGUGAAAUCCUGGGGCUCAACUCCAGAACUGCAUCGGAAACCGGCUUGCUAGAGUCUGGGAGAGGAGAGUGGAAUUCCUGGUGUAGCGGUGAAAUGCGUAGAUAUCAGGAGGAACACCGGUAGCGAAGGCGGCUCUCUGGAACAGUACUGACGCUGAGGCGCGAAAGCUAGGGGAGCGAACAGGAUUAGAUACCCUGGUAGUCCUAGCCGUAAACGAUGGACACUAGGUGUCGGGGGUGUCGACUCCCUCGGUGCCGAAGCUAACGCAUUAAGUGUCCCGCCUGGGGAGUACGGCCGCAAGGCUAAA
rnacentral:rRNA from 1 species